CAACAGGGAUUGCCCCAGUAACGGCGAGUGAAGCGGCAACAGCUCAAAUUUGAAAUCUGGCUCUCGGGCCCGAGUUGUAAUUUGUAGAGGAUGCUUUUGGUGAGGUGCCUUCCGAGUUCCCUGGAACGGGACGCCAUAGAGGGUGAGAGCCCCGUCUGGUUGGACACCGAUCCUCUGUAAAGCUCCUUCGACGAGUCGAGUAGUUUGGGAAUGCUGCUCUAAAUGGGAGGUAUAUGUCUUCUAAAGCUAAAUACCGGCCAGAGACCGAUAGCGCACAAGUAGAGUGAUCGAAAGAUGAAAAGAACUUUGAAAAGAGAGUUAAACAGUACGUGAAAUUGUUGAAAGGGAAGCGCUUGUGACCAGACUUGGGCUUGGUUGAUCAUCCGGGGUUCUCCCCGGUGCACUCUUCCGGCUCAGGCCAGCAUCAGUUCGCCCUGGGGGACAAAGGCAUCGGGAACGUGGCUCUCUCCGGGGAGUGUUA
rnacentral:misc_RNA from 1 species